rnacentral:rRNA from 1 species
GAACUCCGAGACGGCACCCGAGUACCGCAGGGCACGUGAAACCCAGCGGGAAUCUGGGAGGACCAUCUUCCAAGGCUAAGUACUACUCGACGACCGAUAGUGAACAAGUACCGUGAGGGAAAGGUGAAAAGCACCCCGGUAAGGGGAGUGAAAUAGUACCUGAAACCGUGCGUCUACAAGCAGUCGAAGCACUAUGCCGCAAGGAAUGUGCGACGGCGUACCUUUUGCAUCAUGGGCCUGCGAGUUGCCCUGUGUCGCGAGGUUAAGCCGCGAGGUGUAGCCGAAGGGAAACCGAGUCCUAACUAGGGCGAAUGAGUGGCACGGGACAGACCCGAAACCUAGUGAUCUAUCCUUGAGCAGGCUGAAGCGCGGGUAAUACCGCGUGGAGGGCCGAACCCACCAUAGUUGAAAAUAUGGGGGAUGACUUGAGGAUGGGAGUGAAAGGCUAAUCAAACUGGGAGAUAGCUGGUUCUCCGCGAAAUAUAUUGAGGUAUAGCCUCGGACGAAUUGCACCGGAGGUAGAGCACUGAUUGGGC